UACGAAGGGGGCUAGCGUUGUUCGGAAUCACUGGGCGUAAAGGGCGCGUAGGCGGCCGAUCAAGUCGGGGGUGAAAGCCUGUGGCUCAACCACAGAAUGGCCUUCGAUACUGUUUGGCUUGAGACCGGAAGAGGUCAGUGGAACCGCGAGUGUAGAGGUGAAAUUCGUAGAUAUUCGCAAGAACACCAGUGGCGAAGGCGGCUGACUGGUCCGGUUCUGACGCUGAGGCGCGAAAGCGUGGGGAGCAAACAGG
rnacentral:rRNA from 1 species